rnacentral:rRNA from 1 species
UACAUGGGGUGCAAACGUUGCUCGGAAUUAUUGGGCGUAAAGCGCGCGUAGGCGGUUAUCUAAGUCGGAUGUGAAAGCCCUCGGCUUAACUGAGGAAGUGCACCCGAAACUGGAUAGCUAGAGUACGAAAGAGGGUCGCGGAAUUCCCGGUGUAGAGGUGAAAUUCGCAGAUAUCAGGAGGAACACCGGUGGCGAAGGCGGUUCUCUGGGCAUUACCUGACGCUGAGGAGCGAAAGCGUGGGGAGCGAACAGG